rnacentral:rRNA from 1 species
CUACGGGGGGCUCCAGUGAGGAAUAUUGCACAAUGGGGGGAACCCUGAUGCAGCAACGCCGCGUGGAGGAUGACGCAUUUCGGUGUGUAAACUCCUUUUAUAUGUCAAGAAAAUGACGGUAGCAUAUGAAUAAGCACCGGCUAACUCCGUGCCAGCAGCCGCGGUAAUACGGAGGGUGCAAGCGUUACUCGGAAUCACUGGGCGUAAAGGACGCGUAGGCGGGUUGGGAAGUCAGGUGUGAAAUCCUACAGCUUAACUGUAGAACUGCACUUGAAACUCUAAUCUAGAGUAUGGGAGGGGCAGAUGGAAUUAGUGGUGUAGGGGUAAAAUCCGUAGAUAUCACUAGGAAUACCUAAAGCGAAGGCGAUCUGCUGGAACAUUACUGACGCUAAGGCGUGAAAGCGUGGGGAGCAAACAGGAUUAGAUACCCGGGUAGUC